GACGAACGCUGGCGGCGUGCCUAAUACAUGCAAGUCGAACGCUGAAGGAGGAGCUUGCUUCUCUGGAUGAGUUGCGAACGGGUGAGUAACGCGUAGGUAACCUGCCUGGCAGCGGGGGAUAACUAUUGGAAACGAUAGCUAAUACCGCAUAAGAGUAGAUGUUGCAUGACAUUUGCUUAAAAGGUGCAAUUGCAUCACUACCAGAUGGACCUGCGUUGUAUUAGCUAGGUGGUGGGGUAACGGCUUACCAAGGCGACGAUACAUAGCCGACCUGAGAGGGGGAUCGGCCACCCUGGGACUGAGACACGGCCCAGACGCCUACGGGAGGCAGCAGUAGGGAAUCGUCGGCAAGGGGCGGAAGUCUGACCGAGAAACGCCGCGGGAGGGAAGAAGGGUGUCGGAUCGUAAAGCUCUGUUGUAAGAGAAGAAAGAGUGUGAGAGUGGAAAGUUCACACUGUGACGGUAGCUGACCAGAAAGGGACGGCUAACUACGUG
rnacentral:rRNA from 1 species